rnacentral:tRNA from 1 species
GGAGAGAUACUCAAGUGGCUAAAGAGGACGGUUUGCUAAACCGUUAGUACGGGUAUCCCGUAGCAUGGGUUCGAAUCCCAUUCUCUCCGCCA